GCUUGCAUAGCUUAGUGGUGUACGCCAUCCUCCGCGAAAGGCGCUGUCCUUCUAAGGUAGAGGUCCGCGGUUCGAUCCCGCCUGCAAGUA
rnacentral:tRNA from 2 species